UCCACAAGGGAGGAGCGUUGGGCUUAGGCUUAGAGUUUGGGUUCUCUGACGGCCAUUUCCAGGUCAGGUGAUCCAGACCAGAGCCGCGGGCGCAAGGAGGCCCUGGGGAAGAUGGGGACGGACUAUGUCUGGACUGCUCCUGGGAACGCCCUGGGAUCCCCCCGGUGAGCUGGAGGUGGCCAGCGAGUGGGACUGGGGUCAGGGCCAUGGUGAUUGAUUGGAAAACUCGAACAAUACAAGAGACGGUCAGGAAAAUUAAGUGUCGCUGGUCCUGAAAUACCAGAGCUGAUGGAGAGUAAGGUCAGAGUCCUGAUGACAGGUGCAGCUGUGGAGGCUGGAGAACGUCAUACAGGGUUUCCUUGACGACAGAGACCAGAUGACAGCCAUAGGUCCUGGAGAGAUGUUAUCCCCUGUGUUUCCAGAGUCUCUCUGCAGAAAGUCAUUGUCCUGCACCUCUUCAAUCCCUCCAGUCUUCAGUGGAGACAAAGAGGAGGAAGUGACUGGGUCACUGCUUCCCAUGGGCUGCUGGGUUUGGAAGCUCUUCAACUCAAGACGGUCAAGGCGAGACGUCAAGAAUCAGUUUCAUAGAUAUUGUAAAAACAUCUGAUACAAGCUUUAAUAAAGCAAUUUGAUGUUAAACACAUACUUUUCUUUGUAUUAGUCCAUGUUUACGUUCCACUGAGAUUGUGACUAUGUUGGAAAAAUGGUAAAAAUGCUUGUACUUAGGAUGU